CUCCUGAGAAACACCUUCCCCAAUCCCACCCUCUAUUUCUACCCUGCUCCCAUCCCUCAUUAAAACCCUAUCCCCUUCCCACCCCUCCCUACCCCACCCGCCCCUCCCUCCACUCCACCCCCCAUCUCCACCUCCUCCCCGUCACCCCAGCGCCCCUUGAAAGGACCAAGACAUGAAGGUGCAGAGGCUGUUGUUCUGGCUGCUCUUGCUCUGGUGUCCCAGUUCCCCAAACCCAAAUGAAGCUGGAAAAUACACACUGUGAACUGAAGGCACAGAAGAGUCAACUGGCAGCUGCUGAGGAAAAUUUGAAACUGGUUACCGAAGAGAUAGACAAGUAUAAACAAGAAAUUGGAGAAAUGCAAGAUCAGCUACAGAAGGCAGAGCUCAACUUCAAACUCAAGGUCGCAGCUCAUGAGAGAAGUGCUCUAGAUAAUUGGGUUAAGGCUCGGUUUUGGGAGAGGAAGAUAGUGCAGCAGAGCAGGGAGAACACCUACAUGAAACACAGACUGCACAUGAUGAGGAGAGACACGCCUCCUGAGGGAUCCAUGAGGCAGGAACCGAUGCCGGGAAGAUCCGAGAUAUGGAACCGUGUGCAGAGAGAAUCUAGACCGGUUCCCAGGAUGAACAGCAGCACCAGCCCGAAAAAGGACCCGGAGAUGGCUACGGUCAGUACGGAUGUGAGAGGGUUUCCUCGUACUCCAAGGCCCCCCCCAUAUGCCCUACCACAUGGGGCGGUGUUUACCAGGCUUCACUGGCUAUGGGCUACCUCAGCCUCCUCCACAUGGGCGGACUGUGGUGCCUCACCCACAGCUUGUUCCUCCACCACAUGGUAAGAUGAUCUGAAUUGGAUGACAUGAGUUGCAAAGUAUAUUCCUAGUUUAAUUACUUCUGUCAGUGGAGAAGAUGUAGAGGAGGUACCACAAGGCUUUGCGAUGCAAGGAUAGACCUGAGUGAGGACAUAAUAACAUUCCUCAGCUUUCUGUGGACGUCCAUUUCAUGGACUGUCUUGUUUCAUCCUACAGAACUGGGCAGCAGGUGUCUGCCAUGGAGACGAAAAGUGACAUUUUGCAAAAGACAAACAUGAAAGCAUUGCCCAGGUGCAUAGCACAGACACAAUGUUUUGGGCUCUGGGAUGGAUGGAAUGCAACCUUCCCAUCACUCUUUCUUGUGGAGGCCUCAUUUGUCCAAUGUUAUUGAAGAGUUAUGAAAACAUCUGUCCCUGGGUGGAGUGGUCACAUCCUCAGGGGUGAGGGACUGGCCUUCUCCUUUGUCCACAGGGGUAAGAGGAGACCUGUGAGAAACUCUCUGCAUCUGGAUGAGACGUGGGAGUGGGAGAGAGUGGAAUAGGGUGGGGCAGGUGUAGAGCCUUGGCUUACAUCCUGAAUGGUCCAGGCCAGUCUGAAUCCACCUCCAUCCCUUCUAGGGCUUCAGUCAUAUUCAGAAACCUGUGGCUGCUGAAGGGGACAACAGCGGCACCCCGCCCAAGAAGGUCCCGCAGAAGGACCAG
rnacentral:lncRNA from 1 species